CCCUGCAGCUCCGUAUAAUACGGUGCCUCGACUGCGACCCCAGGUCAGGCGGACACCCGCUGAGGUUG
rnacentral:rRNA from 1 species